GACGAACGCUGGCGGCGUGCUUAACACAUGCAAGUCGAGCGGUAAGGCCCUUUCGGGGGUACACGAGCGGCGAACGGGUGAGUAACACGUGGGUGACCUGCCCUCAGCUCUGGGAUAAGCCUGGGAAACCGGGUACUAAUACUGGAUAUGACUCCAUGACGCAUGUUGGUGGGGUGGAAAGCCUUGUGCGGCUGAGGAUGGGCCCGCGGCCUAUCAGCUU
rnacentral:rRNA from 1 species